rnacentral:misc_RNA from 1 species
GUGAGAAUAAUGGAACCAAUGGGACAUAUAGGCAAAUUCCUACGGCUAGUAUGAACAAGGUGGAUAUUGUGGCAUCUUUUCAAACCAGCUAUUAUAUUUCAGGAAUUGCUCCUUUUGGUGAUUCUUUGGUUGUUCUAGCUUAUAUUCCUGGAGAAGAAGAUGGAGAGAAGGAAUUUAGCAGCACCAUUCCAUCGAGACUGGGUAAUGCACAGAGGCCUGAAGUACGUGUAGUUACAUGGAAUAAUGAUGAACUUGCAACAGAUGCCCUACCUUUGCAUGGAUUUGAGCAUUACAAGGCAAAAGACUAUUCCCUUGCUCAUUCUCCUUUCUC